AAGGUGAAUAAUCAUCCACUCCACGAGGUCCGUCGUCGUAUCCUGCUGGAACGUGUGCAUUUCCUCAAGGCAGAGGGGGCCGUGAAGCUACAGAUGACCUGAGUCUUUGGAGUGAACCCCCCAGAGGACAUUUGCCCCUACCCUAAGUUCAUCCACAAGGGUAUGAAUUAUACAGAUAUACACCAGGGAGCUUUAGGUGACUGCUGGUUCCUGGCUGCAGCUGCAUCCCUCGCUCUGCACCCACAGCUGAUGCAGAGGGUGGUACCAGCAGGGCAAAGUUUUGACCUAGGGGAUUAUGCUGGCAUCUUCCAUUUUCAAUUCUGGCAGUAUGGGAAGUGGGUGGAUGUG